GACGAACGCUGGCGGCGUGCUUAACACAUGCAAGUCGAACGGAAAGGCCCUGCUUUUGUGGGGUGCUCGAGUGGCGAACGGGUGAGUAACACGUGAGUAACCUGCCCUUGACUUUGGGAUAACUUCAGGAAACUGGGGCUAAUACCGGAUAGGAGCUCCUGCUGCAUGGUGGGGGUUGGACAGUUUCGGCGGUUGGGGAUGGACUCGCGGCUUAUCGGCUUGUUGGUGGGGUAGUGGCUUACCCAGGCUUUGACGGGUAGCCGGCCUGAGAGGGUGACCGGCCACAAUGGGACUGAGGGACGGCGCAGACUCCUACGGGAGGCAGCAGUGGGGAGUAUUGCACAGUGGGCGGAAGCCUGAUGCAGCAGCGCCGCGCGCGGGAUGACGGCCUUCGGGUUAUAAACCGCUUUCGCCUGUGACGAAGCGUGAGUGACGGUAAUGGGUAAAGAAGCACCGGCUAACUACGUG
rnacentral:rRNA from 1 species